GUUGGAUUGGUUGUUUUAAGCACCAUGGUUGAUUAUGAUGAAAACACCUUAAAAAUGUACAGUACCUUUGGAGGAUAUCUGAGGGAAUGACCCGGGUAAACAUUCAUCCAUCCAUUUGUUUGUAUACAAGGUGCUGGGAUCAAAGAUAUGACCUAGACAGUUUCUGCCUUCAAUGAGUCCAUAUCUAAGAGGGGGACUCUCUCAUUAGCAACCCAUUCACAAUGUAACUGCCUGAAACAGGCACAGAGUUCCCUGAAAGCACAGAGGACGGAGGAGUCCCAUACCCACUUCGAAGUGGGUCAUAAAGAAGCUCUAGGGAAGGAAACUUGACUGCAGAAACAGUGGAAGAAGGUGAAGAGUCAGCAAGGCUGGCACGAGAACGAGACACUUACUCUCCCUACCAUCACUCAACAUUCAGCACAGCAGCAGAGUACCACUGGCUUUUCAGCCUGUGGUCUGAGUCAGGAAGGUGGACAGGCAGAGGAGGACACCACUAGGAGCCCAGCGAACAGAGGCACAUGUGAGUAUCUAUGCUUGAGCCAAGUGGGGAGAGGGACCUACAGGGGCCAUUUCUAGAGGAGUGAGGAAGGGGCCAGACAGUGAGCACAAGAGUUGGAGUGGCUGACUGCUGAAAGUUUCCUUCUCUUCCCUUCCCUCUGUCUCUCUUCCUCUCUCCUCCCUUCUCUCCUUCCUUUCCCCUCCCGAUGCACAGCAAUACCACUGCUCCAAUCCUCUGAGCACCACUUCUGGUCACUUAACCCAAUGACUACUAAACAUCCAUCCCACUACAUGUCAAGCACGCUCUAUGUGUUUAUAGGGCCGCAUCAAUGAAAAAAAUAAACCAGAAUUCCUCAUAGGAAGAGAUAGACCCUAAAAAGAUAGAUGUUAUGAUAAUUUAAGAAGCCAUUAGGCUGAGAUGGCUCCAAUGCCUGGGGCACCUACAGGUGCUAAUGGAAACUCAAGUCAGAGUGUGUGUCCUGGCCAGGAAAAGGAAGCUUAAGCCUGACCAAUCAGAAGCUUCCUGCUAACCUCUGACUUUUCAUGUUGACCAAUCAAACACAUUCUUUGCCUUGCUCCAGAGACAAAGUUUUCACCAUAUGUCCCUCUGUCAAACACUG
rnacentral:lncRNA from 1 species